rnacentral:rRNA from 1 species
GACGAACGCUGGCGGCGUGCUUAACACAUGCAAGUCGAACGAUGAAGCGGUGCUUGCACCGUGGAUUAGUGGCGAACGGGUGAGUAAUACGUGAGUGACCUACCUUUGACUCUGGGAUAAGCCUGGGAAACUGGGUCUAAUACAGGAUACGACCAAUCUCUGCAUGGGGUGUUGGUGGAAAGCGUUAUGGAGUGGUUUUAGAUGGGCUCACGGCCUAUCAGCUUGUUGGUGAGGUAAUGGCUUACCAAGGCGACGACGGGUAGCCGGCCUGAGAGGGUGACCGGCCACACUGGGACUGAGACACGGCCCAGACUCCUACGGGAGGCAGCAGUGGGGAAUAUUGCACAAUGGGCGCAAGCCUGAUGCAGCGACGCCGCGUGAGGGAUGACGGCCUUCGGGUUGUAAACCUCUGUUAGCAUCGAAGAAGCGAAAGUGACGGUAGGUGCAGAGAAAGCGCCGGCUAACUACGUG